rnacentral:tRNA from 1 species
GCCUGGGUGGCUCAGUCCGUUAAGCGUCUGACUUUGGCUCAGGUCAUGGUCUCAUGGUUUGUGGGUUUGAGCCCCAUGUCGGGCU